AAUGCCUUUUUUUUUUCAAUAACAAAUAUACCCCAUAUAAUUCUGUUUUUGUAAUAAUGGUAAUAUAGUGGAACAGUCUGAAAAAGAUGUGCAUGCUUAACUGUUUUUGUUUCCCCCACUGUAUUACCUGUAUUACAAAAAUAUGUGAACUAUGUAUUGUAUGUACCCUACCCACAUAAUUUUACCUAUAACAUGCCAACAUAACAUUUGUUCAUAUAAGAAGACCACAGGGCGGAGAUAAAAAACUUUUGCGUGUGUGUGUGUACACCUCUUAAACCACACGUGUAAUUACAAUGCUAAUUGCGUUUGACGGCAAAACAAUUGCAUGCGAGCAAACGCCGUUUUAUUUUAUUGUAUUUAUAUGAGCUCCUUUGACGUGACGAUCCAGGAAAUUGCAUACAGUGAUAGGAAAAGUUAUUUCCCCUCUGGUCACAACCGACUGAACAGAUCAUUCUGCGCUCCAACUGUGUCAAAUGUCACACAUUCAAACCAGCCAAUCACAGGAGGCUUGAGAGCGGUUGGCUUUGCUCACACAAUGAUGGAAGAAGUCGUUGCAGGCCACGGGUCUCCUGAGUGCUGGACGAGGUGAAGAUGGAGCGAGAGAGAGCCAAGGAAGAGAUGGACGAGGAGAGAGUGGGACAGUGGCUUAAAUAUCACCUCAUUCGUGCUGCUCCUCCUCCUCACCCCCAAAAGUCCUUCACCCUGCCUGUCCCCUUUUGAUCCUCUUCCUAUCCACCCCUGACCGACAUAUCCUUGCAGGUGUCUUCUGGAAAAACACACUCAAAUGGCCUCCAUUUAUCCCUUCAUUAAUAAACUACAUCCACGUAUCCAUCUACAUGAUCAGUAUGUAUCUUCUUAGGUGUCCAUGUAGUAACCACUUACAGAAUCUACCCUAGCAAUGUACUGUCUAUCUCUCUGUAUAUCAAUUUGUCUAUGUAUCUUCUUAUGUAUCCAUGUAUCAAUCUAUGUAUCCCGGUACUCGUCUACAUACCUUUGUAUGUACAGUAUCGUAUGUACCUAUUUUCGUUGCUUUCUAUACAGCCAUGUAUUGGUCUAUAUACUGUAUCCACGCAUGUAUUAAUGUAGUUGUCUAUGUCUUUUUAUGUGUCAAUAUAGGUCUAAAUAUCCAUUUAUCAAUGCAUGUAUCCUUCUAUGUGUAUCAAUUCAUGUAUCACUCAUGUAUCAUGUAUUCAUCCAUGUAUCUUUCCUUGUAUCAAUGUAUGGAUCCAUGUCUCAUUUAUGCACGUAUGGGUAAUUUUUUUUUUCUAUGCAGCCAUUCAUCUUUCUACAACCUCGAUUCCAAUGAAGUUGUGACGUUGUGUUAAAGAUAAAUAAAAAAAAGAAUACAAUGAUUUGUAAAUCAUAUUCAACCUAUAUUUAAUUGAAUACACUACAAAGACAAGAUAUUUUAUGUUCAAACUGCUAAACUUUAUUGUUUUAGCAAAUAAUCAUUAACUUAGAAUCUUAUGGCUGCAACGCGUUCCAAAAAAGCUGGGACAGGAUCAUGUUUUUACACUGGGUUACAUCACCUUUUCUUUUAACAACAUACAAUAAACGUUAGGGAACUGAGGACACUAAUUGUUGAAGCUUUGUAGGUGGAAUUCUCUCCCAUUCUUGCUCGAUGUACAGCUUCAGCUGUUCAACAGUCCAGGGUCUCCGUUAUCGUAUUUUACGCUUCAUAAUGCGCCACACAUUGUCAAUGGGAGACAGGUCUGAACCGCAGGCAGGCCAGUCUAGUACCCGCACUCGUUUACCACGAAGCCACGCUGUUGUAACACAUGCAGAAUGUGGUUAGGCAUUGUCUUGCUGAAAUAAGCAGGGGCAUCCAUGAAAAAGACGUUGCUUGGAUGGCAGCAUAUGUUUCUCCAAAACCUGUAUGUAGCUUUCAGCAUUAAUGGUGGCUUCGCAAAUGUAUAAGUUACCCAUGCCAUUGGCACUAACACAGCCCCAUACCAUCACAGAUGCUGGCUUUUGAACUUUGCGUCCCUAACAGUCUUUCCCUCAUUGGCCCUGAGGAAAGGACGUCCACAAUUUCCCAAAACAAUUUGAAAUGUGGACUCAUCGGACCGCAGAACACUUUUCCACUUUGCAUCAGUCCAUCUUAGAUGAGCUCCGGCCCAGGUUAUCUAAAGUUUAAAGUUUAUCAGUUUGAACAUUAAAUAUCUUGUAUUUGUAGUAUCCAUCCAUCCAUUUUCUGAGCCGCUUCUCCUCACUAGGGUCGCGGGCGUGCUGGAGCCUAUCCCAGCUGUCAUCGGGCAGGAGGCGGGGUACACCCUGAACUGGUUGCCAGCCAAUCGCAGGGCACAUAGAAACAAACAACCAUUCACACUCACAGUCACAGUCACACCUACGGGCAAUUUAGAGUCUCCAAUUAAUGCAUGUUUUUGGGAUGUGGGAGGAAACCGGAGUGCCCGGAGAAAACCCACGCAGGCACGGGGAGAACAUGCAAACUCCACACAGGCUGGGCCGGGGAUUGAACCCAGGUCCUCAGAACUAUGAGGCUGACGCUCUAACCAGUCGGCCACCGUGCCGCUAUUUGUAGUAUAUUCAAUUAAAUAUAGGUUGAACAGGAUUUGCAAAUCAUUCUGUUUUUAUUUAUGUUUAAUACAACGUCCCAACUUCAUUGGAAUUGGGGAGGGGAUGUGCAUUGAUCCAUGUAGCUUUCAAUUACUGUAUAUACUACCCAUGUAUCUUUCUACUAUUUUCUUACAGUACUCGAGUGUGUAUCUAAUAUCUAUAGUAUGCAUCCCAUAA